AGAGUUUGAUCCUGGCUCAGGACGAACGCUGGCGGCGCGCCUAACACAUGCAAGUCGAACGGAGCUGAGAGGAGCUUGCUUUUCUUAGCUUAGUGGCGAACGGGUGAGUAACGCGUGAGUAACCUGCCCUGGAGUGGGGGACAACAGUUGGAAACGACUGCUAAUACCGCAUAAGCCCACGGCCCGGCAUCGGGCUGAGGGAAAAGGAUUUAUUCGCUUCAGGAUGGACUCGCGUCCAAUUAGCUAGUUGGUGAGGUAACGGCCCACCAAGGCGACGAUUGGUAGCCGGACUGAGAGGUUGAACGGCCACAUUGGGACUGAGACACGGCCCAGACUCCUACGGGAGGCAGCAGUGGGGGAUAUUGCACAAUGGGGGAAACCCUGAUGCAGCGACGCCGCGUGGAGGAAGAAGGUUUUCGGAUUGUAAACUCCUGUCGUUAGGGACGAUAAUGACGGUACCUAACAAGAAAGCACCGGCUAACUACGUGCCAGCAGCCGCGGUAAAACGUAGGGUGCAAGCGUUGUCCGGAAUUACUGGGUGUAAAGGGAGCGCAGGCGGACCGGCAAGUUGGAAGUGAAAACUAUGGGCUCAACCCAUAAAUUGCUUUCAAAACUGCUGGCCUUGAGUAGUGCAGAGGUAGGUGGAAUUCCCGGUGUAGCGGUGGAAUGCGUAGAUAUCGGGAGGAACACCAGUGGCGAAGGCGGCCUACUGGGCACCAACUGACGCUGAGGCUCGAAAGUGUGGGUAGCAAACAGGAUUAGAUACCCUGGUAGUCCACACCGUAAACGAUGAUUACUAGGUGUUGGAGGAUUGACCCCUUCAGUGCCGCAGUUAACACAAUAAGUAAUCCACCUGGGGAGUACGACCGCAAGGUUGAAACUCAAAGGAAUUGACGGGGGCCC
rnacentral:rRNA from 1 species